rnacentral:lncRNA from 1 species
UCGUGUUAACCCACACUGAAUACCCUCUUGCCCUUUUAUACUAAACGAAAGACUUACAAAACUGAGAAUCAAUCAAUUCACAAAACCAAUAUUAAACGGAUCUGCUUUCUCCGCCAUAGAGUGGUUUGUUGUCUCAUCAAGUGAACCAGAACAAACAGGACGUGUUGCCUCUCCUUUUCUGAGUUUUGGCAAACCCGAGAUGAUCUGGUUCAUCUUAUUUUUGAUCUCCUCAAAAUGUUGGUCUUGUUCCACUCCCCUCUGCUCUCGUUUGUCUUGUACAGACGCAAGACGUCUCUUGCUUU